GUGUCAGCCGCCGUGGUAAUACGUAGGGCGCGAGCGUUGUCCGGAAUUAUUGGGCGUAAAGCGCGCGCAGGCGGUCCUUUAAGUCUGAUGUGAAAGCCCACGGCUCAACCGUGGAGGGUCAUUGGAAACUGGGGGACUUGAGUGCAGAAGAGGAAAGUGGAAUUCCACGUGUAGCGGUGAAAUGCGUAGAGAUGUGGAGGAACACCAGUGGCGAAGGCGACUUUCUGGUCUGUAACUGACGCUGAGGCGCGAAAGCGUGGGGGGCAAACAGGAUUAGAAACCCUUGUAGUCC
rnacentral:rRNA from 1 species